AUUGAACGCUGGCGGCAGGCCUAACACAUGCAAGUCGAACGGUAACAGGAAGCAGCUUGCUGCUUUGCUGACGAGUGGCGGACGGGUGAGUAAUGUCUGGGAAACUGCCCGAUGGAGGGGGAUAACUACUGGAAACGGUAGCUAAUACCGCAUAACGUCGCAAGACCAAAGAGGGGGACCUUAGGGCCUCUUGCCAUCGGAUAUGCCCAGAUGGGAUUAGCUAGUAGGUGGGGUAACGGCUCACCUAGGCGACGAUCCCUAGCUGGUCUGAGAGGAUGACCAGCCACACUGGAACUGAGACACGGUCCAGACUCCUACGGGAGGCAGCAGUGGGGAAUAUUGCACAAUGGGCGCAAGCCUGAUGCAGCCAUGCCGCGUGUAUGAAGAAGGCCUUCGGGUUGUAAAGUACUUUCAGCGGGGAGGAAGGGAGUAAAGUUAAUACCUUUGCUCAUUGACGUUACCCGCAGAAGAAGCACCGGCUAACUCCGUG
rnacentral:rRNA from 1 species